rnacentral:rRNA from 1 species
CAUNAUUGAAUUUGGGUUUCCAUAUUCUUACACCUGUGCACUUUUUGUAGGCCAUUUAUUUGGUCUAUGUCUUUUUUAUAAUAACUCAUCUUUGUAAAUGUGAAUGGAAAUGGGAUAAAAUAAUACAACUUUCAACAACGGAUCUCUUGGCUCUCGCAUCGAUGAAGAACGCAGCGAAAUGCGAUAAGUAAUGUGAAUUGCAGAAUUCAGUGAAUCAUCAAAUCUUUGAACGCACCUUGCGCUCCUUGGUAUUCCGAGGAGCAUGCCUGUUUGAGUGUCAUUAAAUUCUCAAAAGUCUUUCUUUAGACAUUUUGGACUUGGAGUGUUUGCUGGCUUUUUUAUAUAUCAAAGUCAGCUCCUCUUAAAUGCAUUAGCUUGUGCUCUGUGGAUUAGGCUUUGGUUUGAUAGUAUCUAUGCCAUCGCUUUUGAAACAAAUAGUCAGCUUCUAACAAACAAUCUCUUUGACAUUUUGACCUCAAAUCAGGUAGGACUACCCGCUGAACUUAAGCAUAUCA